rnacentral:rRNA from 1 species
ACGCUCGACACCUACGUGAGGCAGCAGUGGGGAAUAUUGCACAAUGGGGGAAACCCUGAUGCAGCGACGCCGCGUGAGCGAAGAAGUAUUUCGGUAUGUAAAGCUCUAUCAGCAGGGAAGAUCAUGACGGUACCUGACUAAGAAGCUCCGGCUAAAUACGUGCCAACAGCCGCGGUAAUCUGAGCGGGCGUGGCAAGGC